rnacentral:rRNA from 1 species
GACGAACGCUGGCGGCGUGCUUAACACAUGCAAGUCGAACGGAAAGGCCCUGCUUGCCGGGUACUCGAGUGGCGAACGGGUGAGUAACACGUGGGUGAUCUGCCCUGCACUUCGGGAUAAGCUUGGGAAACUGGGUCUAAUACCGGAUAGGACCGCACUUUAGUGUGUGUGGUGGAAAGUUUUUUCGGUGUAGGAUGAGCUCGCGGCCUAUCAGCUUGUUGGUGGGGUAAUGGCCUACCAAGGCGGCGACGGGUAGCCGGCCUGAGAGGGUGUACGGCCACAUUGGGACUGAGAUACGGCCCAGACUCCUACGGGAGGCAGCAGUGGGGAAUAUUGCACAAGGGGCGCAAGCCUGAUGCAGCGACGCCGCGUGGGGGAUGAAGGCCUUCGGGUUGUAAACUCCUUUCGCUAGGGACGAAGCUUUUUGUGACGGUACCUAGAGAAGAAGCACCGGCUAACUACGUG